rnacentral:rRNA from 1 species
GACGAACGCUGGCGGCGUGCUUAACACAUGCAAGUCGAACGAAGUGGCGAACGGGUGAGUAACGCGUAAUCAACCCGCCCUUCAGAGGGGGACAACAGCUGGAAACGACUGCUACUACCGCAUACCGAAGCAGGGGAUUGCGGCUGAUUAGCUAGUUGGAGGGGUAACGGCCCACCAAGGCGAUGAUAAGCAGCCGGUCUGAGAAGGUGAACGGCCAAUAUGGGACUGAGACACGGCCCAGACUCAUACGGGAGGCAGCAGUGGGGAAUCUUCCGCAAUGGAAGAAAGUCUGACGGAGCAACGCCGCGUGAGUGAUGACGGCCUUCGGGUUGUAAAGCUCUGUUAAUCGGGACGCGGUACCGAAAUAGAAAGCCACGGCUAACUCCGUGCCAGCAGCCGCGGUAAUAC